rnacentral:rRNA from 1 species
GAACGCUGGCGGCGUGCUUCCCCCCUGCCCGUCGCCCGAGCCCGCGCUGUCGCCCUCCAGGGUUCUGCUCGUGGCAGCCGGGUGAGUAAUACAUGGGAAUCUACCUUGCAGUGCGAAAUAACAGUUGGAAGCAAUUGCUAAUGUCGCAUAUAGCCGAGAGGUGAAAGGUUUACUGCUGCAAGAUGGGCCCAUGCAGGAUUAGCUAGUUGGUGAGGUAAUGGCUCACCAAGGCAACGAGCGGGAGGGGGGCGGAGAGGAUGAUCAGCCACACGGGAACGGAGACACGGGC